CACUGCCAGGGACGGCGACUGCACCACCUCCCUGUGCAGCCACUGCAGUCAGCACGGCUUUCAGUGCUUAUCCCAGUGCCCUGCCGUGAUGCCAGCAAUCACUGUACUACUGAAAUACACCUAUGUAGCACCAAUCCUUUUCUGUUUGCAGUACUGCCGCCUUUAUGUCCUCUUCAAAAUAGAUUUUGGUUUAACUAUGUGAUAAAACUGAGAACUCAUGAUUCAUUGCCCAUCCAAUGUAAUCAAUCCUUUAAUUUCUGCUUUCCAGGACACAGCCAUUAGCCAGUAACCACAAACUGCUCUGUGGGACUCUCAUGGAAACAACAGCCCUCCUGGAUGACAAUUAUCCAUUGUUACAUACAGCAAGAGAUUUUAAACCAAAAGUUUAUGAAUUACUGCCCAGUGUUUAUCCAGCUCUUCAUGCACUACUGCCAAAUGCUUUAUAAAAAUCCCUUAUCCAUUUCUGAGGUGCCAAAAUUCCUUUUUUUCACACACUCUACCUUGGAGAUACAAAAUUUGAUCUUUUCACCACUCUACUGAUGGAGAAUUGAGACACACAUUUGAGGAGCAAACAAUAUAACAGUCAGAUUUUGAAGGUCUUUAAGUCACUGAAGAAACUAUGAAACAGACCAUGUUUAAUUACUGCAUUUGGAGAGAAGCACAGGGCAGAGUCCUUCUAUCUAGUGCACAGAGGGAGCUUGGAGAUGCUUAGGGCUGUAGGUUAAAGUGGCUAGAGGAACAUGCAUCAGGACCUUAAAGAGAGCCAGAAGCUUCCCUAAUCGUAAGCUACAGAAUCCAAUAUUGCUCAUUUGUCUUUGAAAAACCCAACACUAGACAAUACGUGAGUCUGAGCUGUUGAGAGAAAGCAAACUGAGAAGAUGUGAUAAGGUCUUUGAAUAACACCAGCAUAAGUGGAAUGCAGCAUAAAAUGAUGUAAUUGCAGUAUCAGAGUUUCGUGGGUGUUCAUUCAUGAAAUGCCAAGUGCAUCGCUGAAUUACAGGGACUCUAAUGGAGCUGAGGAGCGCUUCCCACCAAGGAGAUGGAUGCCAGGGUGGGGGUCAGUAUCACUUGAUCUGAAGUAGAAAAGCAUCUUCCUGCAAGACUUCAUUGCAGGCAUUUUCCAGACAGCUCAGGUAUUUUUAAAGAAAGACAUGACCAUAGCUCUGCCUAAAUCAAGCUUCUGUCCUUCAACACAGAAUUGACAACAUAACUUCAUGAAGUUGUGAUCUAUUAGAAAGGAGAUUUUAAAAGACCACAGUACUGCAAGGAAUAAAACAGGAUUUUGCCACAUUAUCCUAGAUCAGCAGAUGAGUCCAGUCGUCGUCUCUUGCAGUAUUUGAGAGCAACAAGACAAAUAGAGCUUUUUCCCAGAUGGAAGCUGAUAGAGAAACUGUGAUGCAGCUGAUAACCUUCAGCACACAUCCAGGUGAUCAGAACAGCAAGAAAGAUAAGGGAAAAUGCUUCGCUGUUCAGCCCAUGUCAAAGCCCCAACAUCUUUGGUCCACCUUGAACUGAAGGCAGACUCUGACGCUGGGCACAGUGCAGCCUCCUGUGGGAGGACAGCACCACUCAGUGAACCUUCGGGGGAUUCUGGCGUCCCACUCCUCCAUGCUGAGCAGCCUGGCUGCUCGCUCCGGAGCACUCCCUGUUUCUCAUCGGGGUUCUCUGCCGUCAUCUCUGAGGUCAGGAAGAAAGACCACGCCUCGCCUGCUCCUAAACAAAAGACUAUAGAUAGCUGUGGCAGCAAAUGCUUCUCAUUAUGUACUCCUCUCUCCUCAGACUGCCUGCCCAGUUGGGGGUGGGAGCAGCAUGGGGCCCUGAGAUGCCUGUGCUGCUCUGCUGUGUGUUUUCUGUUAUGUGGGGUGAGGAGUGCAUUCCUCACAGGCUUUGAAUGUCUGCAAAACCCCAGAGGAAUCCUCGGAGCAGUGGGAGGAGAGAUCGGGCACGGAGAAGUUACCCAUGCACAUCGGGAUAAGGCGUCCCCCUGCUGCAUCGGCCUGCAAAGGCAUCCAAACCUGAUGGAAGUGCAAGUGCUAGGGCAGCACGCCCUCUCAGCGUGCAUUUAAAAGCCUCACUCUUCCCACCAACACAGCUUGUUUGGCUAGGCUUAGUCUGGCAAAACAGAUCAAGCAGUGAUAAACCUGUCUGCUUGUGCACUUAGAGUCAGUGCAGGAUAGGUAAAGGAAUCAUUUCAGAUUAAGACUGAUUGUGAACCAAGAACAGAUAGAUAUAAACUGGCUAUUAUUGCAUUCAACAAGAAUUCUGCUAGCUAUUACAGCUAUCAGGCUUUAAAACAUCUUUUCAGAGUAAGAAAGACACAGGAGCAAAAAUUCCAGCGUCUGAUAAAAUUGAGUGAUUACGGGAUUUCAUACCUAUGGCAGCUUGAGUUUGGACGUGGAGGCCCAAGAAUUACUGGCACCACAUUCUUUUCCCGCAUCACAGAACUCCAAUAUAGAGCCUCUCCUCAUGGAGUAUGCAUGCAGGGCCUUGUACCAAGGACAGGAAACUAACCUCCCAGUCCCACUCCCUCUCAGCUUUAUGUGUCUGAUGCCUAGUUCAUGUUUCAGUGUCUCUGACAGAGCUUGCACAGAAGAUUGUUAUGGAUAUAGAAACAUGGAACUGGAAAAAUCUUCCUGGGACAGCUGGAUGCAGUGUUGAGUGGCCAUUCCCCAGCUUGCUGCCAAGCAUUUUUUUUUUCAUCAUCGUUCUCAGGAUGCUUGUAGAAUUGGGAACGUUGCAGGACCUGAAGUAUCAGCAGGAUGGGACAGCACAGCCCGUGAGCCUUAACUGCAGUGCAAUCCAAACAUCAUCUCCACACUGCAGAGAUGGGACAAUCAACAAAAUAAUGGGCAGUUCGCAAAAGAGAGCCCUGGAGGGAAGUCUUGAUAUCCCUGGAGAAAGUGCAUACAUCCAGAAUAUAAACAGAACUACUGACCUGCAUCCUGCCCUGUAACCACAUAUAUGAGCCACUCCAAAUCCGCCGGGAAUAGCCUAAAAGGCAGCUCUACUAAAGUGCACCUCUGAAAAAAGAAAUCUGUACUGCUACUGAUGAAAUGCUAGCAGUAGUAGCAGUAGUAGGUCGAGGAGUGAGCUGCAUGGAUCCCAGUUAGAAAUACGCAUGCUGACCGUUCUCUGCAGAAGUGACAUUUUGUGAUUCCAGCUGAUGCAAUGCACAACAUAAUACUGUGCAGACCACAAGAUACGUAGAGACAAUGAGCACAGAGGCAAGCAUAGUCCUGGUGACACCUUGCUACGGCCAGGCCAGCACGGCUCUUCUACAACUCGCAGUGCAAACCCUAAGGAGAAACAGCAGGAACAUCCACCUGCUCUGCAACAGGCCGUGCCCUGCCCGUUUCUCGGUCACACCGCAGGCUGCGAGCGCUCAC